UUUUUGUAAAAAAUAAACACUAGCACAUCAUUGAAAAGCAAGUGAGUAAUCUAUGUUUCAAAUUUUAUAACACAAAUAUCUGUAUUAAAGGCUGUGGAUUUUCUAUAAAAAUCUUGGUUUAUUUGCCACAAAGGACUCUUUUUCUAUUAAAUGCAAUGAAACAGUAGGUAAUAGAAUGAAAUUCAAAACAGUGUGGCUGUGGCCAUUGAUUGACACAUUAAAUUCAUCCAUUGACUGGGACAAUUUAAAUGAACGUUUGUCUGUAACGACCACUGUUCACGACGUACCUACGAUAGACAUUUAAACUGUGGGGUCACCAAAGGUUUCUUAACGCC
rnacentral:lncRNA from 1 species